GAGAUGGGACCUAUGAAGGAGCUAUUGGGUCCCCAUGGGUCACUGACAACUCCCUAGUUCUGGCUAACUGGGUUCCUUCCGGACCAUCCCUGCACUUUCAGGCUUGAUAAGCUUUCCCAUCACCACCAAGUUCCUUCUUAGUCUUUUUCCACCCACCGAUCCAAUGGGUCAGAAGGAUUUAUGUUCUUCCAGGGACACAGAAACUAAAGCAACGUAGUCCAAUUUUUUCAAAGUCAUGCAUCAAAAGAGAAGCUUGAACGUCCCUAAUUAGAGACUAAAAGAGAGACAGCCCUUUGUAGAGACCACUCCACUCGGUCCAUUUUCAGCUGAAGCAGGGACAGCUCUGACACCGCAGCCUGGUUAGACUGGCCCAAAUCAGACUGGCUUCCCAAAGUUCCAUCAAGAAAUUCGAAGUCAAACCUGGGGGCUCCAGACCCCGAAAGAAUGGAAGGGAAACGUUCCCUGCCUGCCCCGCCAACCAGCUCGUUAAACUCCAGCCCUCCUGCUGCUCUCCAGUGAUUUAUGGAGAAUCAAAGCCAAAGCCCCACUUGUCUGUAGAUGGGAUGCUUGGAUUCGAGGUGUUGUUUCAAAGAAAAGUGAUGGAUCAGAACCUGGAGACCAGGUCCAGCCCAGUCCCCAGCAGCAGCCCUGACCUCUUCUCCACCACCUCCAUCCUCUGCAGGUCCCUCAACCUACUCAGCACCUUAUUUUGAAGGGAAGGAGGCUCUUAUCUGACCCGCGCUUCACAUUUCAAGGCCGCCACGAGCCUUGGGCUCAUAUUUUUCACACGUCCUAAAACAUCAUCCCUCCCCCGGCACAAACGUGCAUACAUUCCUUAUGGUCUGCUUCCCCUCAGGGCCCCACAGGCCUGAAGAGAUGAUAAAAUUUCUGUAAAGUAGGUGUUUGAGGCAUUUCCUAGCAGUUCGUGACCCCGCUGAAACCCCUGCGAGGAACGCAGUAGGAUGCUUCACAUAACUCUGAAAAAGGAUGUUUUGGAGCUAAUUGCUUCCAAACCAUCCAAGUGAUGAGAAAUCCAGUGCUACCAGCAGCUCAUUUCCUUUGCUGUUUAAAUACAACACCCUGCUCUGGGCUGGGCUGUCCUGGCCCAGGAUCUGGGCACUGCUGCUCACACUGCUCCUGCUGUGCCGUGAAGCUCUCGGUAGGACCAUGUCUCCUCCCCGCAGGUGUAAGGAUGCCAUCAGCCAGCUAUUACCAACUCUUGGCCAAAUUAAGGAGAUCAUGCUCCUUGACUUGACCUCUGAAAUGUGCGAUUUCCCAUUCAUUAGUCUUUUUCUGACUCUUCCUUGAACCUUCCCCCCCACCCUCCAAUAUUUCCAUGUCCAUUUUGAAGCACAGAGGCAUCACAGCCUUCCAGUGCAAAACUGUUCGCAGGCAUUGCUUGAUGACCUCCAUCUCCACAGAGCUCUCCUGAGUCACCAGUUACCCAUUCUCCAGCCUUCUAAGGGCUAGAUGGGAAUCCCUCACCCAACUUUCAGCUGGCCUGUGUUAAAUGUGAUGAAUGGGCUGACAUUUGACCAUAUAAAAAUACCAUGUUUACUUGACCCAGGGCUGCCAAGCAAGCCUGAGGCUCCACAUCAUUAGCUGGGGCUCUGCAAGAGUCACUUCUCUUCCCCUUUCUUUGUGUCCCUUUGAAAAUUUUUCAAUGAGGAUUUAAUGGAUUCUUCUCCUUUUCUUCCCCGAACCAUUGCUGGAGACAUUACAUGGGACAGGGUCAGGACCAGCCAUUUUGGGUCUCCUCAAGAAACAAGGCUGUUUGAUAUCAGUUCUUUCAGGACUCCGUUUAGAAAGCUAAUUAAAAACGCCAGCCAUUUAAUGUGCACAAUGUUGAUUUUGGAUGGCUCCUCUUCAUCCAUUACAACAGCCCGUGAUGCAAAGCCAAGCACUUUUUAGAAGUUUGACCAGUUUAGGAAUAAGCGUAAGGCCAGUGACAGCUGGCCUCCAGGAGACAGAUGGGCUCUGAGAGCAGGAGGAAUUACUGCGGCCAGGAGUCCAACCUCCUGAGUGACACAGGCUAUAAAAUGGCAUCCAUUAGGCUCCUUUGAAAAUCCCAAUGAUAAAUCUUCCUGGUCCAAUCCUUUCCCUCCACAGCUCCCCUGGAAGAAGUAAGGUUGCUCAGGGUGCUCAAUAGGAUGCUGGUAGGGCCAGCCUGGCUCUGGCCGUAUUCAGAUCUCUCCUACUGGUGCAGCAAACUCCCAAAAGCAUUCAUAGUUUCCAUGCUGCUAAUUUUAGGGCUUUGCUUUCCAGCACCCACAGACUUGGAGACACAGCCUGCUGCCUCGCUGCAGCUUACAUGUUUUCUAAUGGCCCCAACCCAGAGAUUUACACUAAGCCAACUCAUUUUGAAACCCUUCCAUAAAAAUGCCUUCUGCAAACAGAUUUGUUUCAUUAUCGUUGAGCUCGAAAGUGCCUGAAGUAACAAACAACUUCAAACUCCUUCAAAUUUAUCCUGGCACCGGGCUUGCACUUCAUUUAGAUGCUAUGUACCUGGGUGCGUGCCCUGUGGGGGACAGGCAGGAGAGGGACGGAUGGAGCUCUGUGCAAUGUAUCAGUGAUUAUGGUGCAAUAAAUAUUGGAUGGAGGAUCUAUGAUAACAUCUAUUACAGCUUUAUGAAAUAUUGAUAGCGUCUGAAUACAUAUUGCCUCCUGAACAGCUCGUUCCGGAGAUGUUUAAUGAAAGACAUCUGUCGUUUUAUCCUUGAAUCUACAUGGAGGCAAAAUUUAGUCUCCAUCCCCACUGUAAUCUCCGUGAGGCUUUCCAGAUCUGCGAGGAAGUGGCAUGAAAUGCUCAGGCUCACCUAUAUGGAUGGGUCUGUUUUAUGCACACACAGUCUUCCAUUUUGGGAAGAAGUUAAUGUUGUGCCUUUCUAGAAACAACCUCUUUGCAGACAGCUGGCUUUAGCAGGACCAACUUAAGGCUGCCAUGGCCAAACAGUGGGAGCAAAUGGGGCUCCCAGGAAAACCAGCUCAUCCGUCAGGCAUUCAUCCCUGGCUGUGCACGUAACCCUGCACACAGCACACACCCUGCGUGAACCCAACGCGCUGAUCCCUGACACAUGUUCACCCCAGAUGCCCAAUGUAAUCCCAAAUUAAAGACAUAUGGUGUUACUUCUCACCUCACAAGGUCUCCCCAGGCGUGCACAUGCAUGCAUACACACCAGCCCUCCACACCACUGAUCAUUUCAGUCUUUAUUCACUUUCCUCCUAACACCGCAAAGCCCACCCUGCUCAGGUCCUCCCAGCAUAGGAAACUGAAGCACGUGAUCUCCAGACAGAAGGAGCUAUCGCCUCCUUCACAUCCAAACCCAGAUUUACCAUCAUCCACCACCAUCUGGAGCAGCAGCUCUCGGCUCACAUGCUGUGCUUUGUCCCCAUCUGGCCUCACCAAGGGCAGUGUUCACCUCCAGGACCCAUUUGCUUGCUCUGUGGAUGGAAACACGUUUCUGCCUUUCUUUCCCACAGCCUCAGGUGAUGGGAAAGCCCUCCCAGGCUUGAGCCAACAUCUUAGAAUCGUGAAAUCAUUUGGGUUUGGAAAAGACCUUCAAGAUCACCGAGUCCAACCACCAACUUGCCCAAGGCCAUGGCCAACCCCUUGCGGUAAAGUGGCACAACAAAAUCUUUCUGGUUACCAGGCAUCACGUGGCUUCGUUCUCACACUGAUAAUUCUAAUUAUUCACAGCUCUGCACUGCUAAAGAAGACAGAGAAGGUAGGGGCAUCAACACACAGCCUCUCCUCUCCCCUGGGCAGAGCCUGCAAAGCUGAUCUGAGCCCACGUAAACCCCAGGCUGUAUCUGCAGGCCGCCUCCACAGACCUGCCUCUCACCCUGGCCCUGCUCCCACGCACUCACCUCGCAUAAAGCCACGCACCUGUGGUCUGAACUAGAAAGGAUGAACUUUUCCAGCCUGAGGGCUGACAAGCUGAGCCUCCUCAAUUGCCUCAGCAAGAAUGAGAAUCUCAGCAUCACCUUAUUUCCCAGUUUCACUGUGCUCAUAAAAUGCUUCUGCUGAACCAUGGGGCAUUCAAGACAACAUAAGAAAGAGAAAGCAGAAAUGACUGUGAGACCUCAGACGCAUGUUUUCUGCAGAUCAAUAGCCGCUUACUAGCAACACUUCCCCGGGAACAUCUUCCCCUCCUAUGAACUAUGUCUGAUCCACCCAGCCCAGCCACGGAGGAGUAAUCCAACACCACCACCCCCAUUUGUUACCACUUAGGAGAGUCUACUGUACUCGCAACAACAACACGUGGCCCUCCUCUGCUCUGAAUUAAUGAUGGGUGCGAUUGUGUUUCCUCUCUCAGCAGGAGGAAAACCAGCACCCGAGCCAGCCCUGUGCUCCAUGCAUCUCCUUCACCAGGCCUGGGGAGAAGCACGGAGCUCACUCCAUGCUGGAACGAAUUGCAGCCUGGAGCAGGUCUUAAAGAAAGGCAUGCAGGUAUGAACAUACUGCAGGUGAUGGGUGAUAAUCCGCUUUUGUUGGUUUUUUUUUCUGGUCUCAUUUCUUAGACUAAAAUGGGUCUUUAGCAAGAGCUCAGCUUAGCUUUAUAAGCUUAGCUUCUUAAGAAAUUGGCUUGAUUUUAUCACUGUUAUUUUAUGAAAAUGAGAGUCAGAUUUUGCCUAUUCCGGUAAAUUAUACCACUUUCUAGCCAAGGUUUGAGAACAAUUUUGCAAAUACCUUGAAAGCCCUUGUGCGGACAGUUCUUACCUAGCAGGGUUAUUAAACACCAUCUUCAGCUAAAUCAAUGUGGAUUCAAGUAGUACAGGAAAGAGACAAACUCGCUCCCCGCUGUUUAUCCUCUCCCUCAGUGAUUUCUGCAGCCCCAGAUUGGAGUAAUGCUCUCCGGGCUCUCAGCUCACCCAUCUCCAGCAGGGGUGAAGGCACACGGAUGUUCAACCUGCCACACACUGCUGGUUGGAGCUGCCCCUUCUCCACCCCCAAGGGAUCAUCCCCAGGCUCAGCCCAUCCCUCCCCUACAGCAGCAAACAAACAACCCUUUGUCCUUUCCCAUCCACCUUCCUUUCCAUCCCAGCAACAUAUUUCUUUCUACCUCCCUCCGUCAACCCUAUUUCAAUGGCAUUUCCCUUCCUGCUGCCAAAUGGAUGCUUAGGAGCGUGGAGACAGUAAAACAUUGCGCUAAUGUCCCUUGCUGAUGCAUAGACUCCUCCCAUUAUUGGUACAGCAGCAUCAGGUUAUACACCGUUAAUAGCCUUUCCUCUUGUUUAUAGCCUUGCUGGCACCAUUCCUGGAUGUAGCACCGCUGCUUUCCCCCCCAGCUGUGGGCUCACGUGGCACGCGUGCGAUGUGCAGCUCAGCACAUGGCGGGGGGCACCUCCAGCAACCAGCAUGGCACAAACACACAGCAGCAAAGCCAGCCAAGCUCAUCUCAGACUGGGCAGGGGUUGGGGAGGAGAUUAUUUAUUGAUUUAUUUUUUUAUUUAUUUUUGCAAAGUGAGUGAAUAAUUCAUAGGCGAACCAUUGACAUGAUAAAUUCCUCCACUUCUUCCCUUUAGCGAGUUGGCUGCGAACAACUUUCCAAUUCUGCUCCUCUGCGUUUUCAUUAUCCAGAAUUAUUCACUAAACAAUUGCUUGGAAUCAUUCUAGGAAGCAAUGCCUCUGCUGGGGGCAGCGACGCCUACAACGGCAAUGAGCCUUCCAGCACCAGGGUCUGCCCAGCUGGGGCAGAGCACCGAGCUGUGCAGCCCGGUUUUCUCUGCCAUUAGAUGAGCAGAGUUCUGCAAAUCAGGUUUCCGCCGCAAGUGCUCAUGUUUACAAAUCAGCAGGAGCUGAAACUGCUGAGAUGCAGUGCUGGGUGGCACUGGUGCUUCCAGCAGCACUUCUGCCAACACACUCCAUCUCCGGUCCCACGGGACAAGUGGCACAAAGUCUCUCCGUUUCCAUUUCAGCUGCUGCAAACAAGCUCUGCCCUUCACAGAGCACUGCUGGCAGUGCACACAGACUCAGAACCCACUGCUGGGCUCCCAGCACCACGCACUGCCUUUGAUAUUCAUGGGAGGCAAAAGAAAACAACCGAUGUUUUGCUUUUUAAUUUCAUGGGAAAUUUUGGAGGUGGUUUCUGCUCCAUGCUGCACUUCAUUUGCUCAUUCACAGACUGACCCAAACCCCCUUAUGAACAACCGAAUGUCUUCAGCACACACAGCUCUGACUCCAAGUCCUUGAUAUUUAUCUGCCUGUGGUUUCCAAUACCUGAAACCUGGCUGACCCAACACAGUGAAUUUGGAGGAAGCUCGCCAGCUGAUGACUCCGACUGCCCGACAGGAAUCGUCUGGGGUGUAUUUUCUGGAUAUUUUAUUGCAGAUGAGACACCUGACACCAUGAGGUCAUAAGCAAUUUCCAGCUCUCUCCAAAUCACCCGGACGGUUCCAACCCCAAAGCCAACAACAUCAUCCAUGGUGCUGGAAAACUUUCCGUGCUGAUUGUCGGUCAUUUGCCACUUGUAACUCAGAGGGAGGGAACUGCUUCCCCCCCCCUUUGCCUUCUCAGGGAAAUCAGCCUGUGUUCUGCAGGCCAACCAGGCUGUAAAACCCACAGAUCGAGGGCUCUGCCUCUCUAUUUAUUGAGAAUCUUUAGUCCAGUGGCAAAACGACAGCGCUGUACCUGCAGUUCCAUCCUAGGUGGGCAGGAUAUUAACUUCUUUGGUCAUUGCUCUGAUUCAGCAUCUGCUUUCCCCGCAUCGCAUCCCUGCGUUUGGAUUUAGAUUAAUUCCUGUCACCAUCCCAGACGUGCACGUUUACGGAGCUGACAAACUAAUUUGCCAUAAGUGACAACGACCUGAUUUCUGCAAAAGUCAGAAUGCUGCCAAGCCCUCCAUUUAAACGUGCACAGACACGAAUUUCACACUGAGGAAACACAAUUGCACACAGACAAGCAGAAAUAAAGAGCUCCUGUGCAGGGAAACCUGCAGAUGUUUCCCUCCUUACAUCACUCCUGUGGUGCCCUGCUCCCACCCACCCACCUUGCAGCACUGUUGGCAGCCUGCAGCAUCUCCCCUUUACAUGCAAGGCUCCCCAUCUGCUUCCAUACCAAAAGCAAGCAGAGAGAUAUGGUGUGCUCAGACCCCAUAGCCUGCUCAGCAAAGGAUCAGGACAUAUCCGUGGGUCUGUGGGUACAAACUCAUUCCCCUGAAGAGAUGCAUCCCUGAUCUGCAGAAUAACACAUCUCUGGGACAGUGCAGCUUUCAUAGAAUCAUGAAGGAUGGAAAAGACCUCUCAGGUCACCAGGUCCAACCCCAACCCAUCCCACCAUGCCCACUAACCACGUCCCUCAGUGCCACCCCUCCAUGGUUACUGACCACCCCCAUGGAUGGUGACCCCACCACUCCCAGGGCAGCCUAUGCCAAUGCAUCACAGCUCUUUUGGAGAAGAUUUUUUUCCUAUUGCAGAAUUUGAGGCCGUUGCUGCAUUUCACUGCAUCCUGGAAAAUCCCAAAUCCAGUAAUGUCCUCCAGCCAUGCCAUUUGCCAUCAAUAAAUGGUAGUCCCAAUCCCCAGCACAGCCUGCUGCUUGUCUUAACCCAGAGCUGGGACAUAAUCUGGGAGCCAGUUUCUGCCUGGAAAAGUGAAGGUGGUUGAUGCAGAGGUGAUUGUUCCAUUCAUUUGGGGAUUUUUAACUGUGAGAACGAUGGCUCUGCCCUGAUGCCUCCAUUUCCCCAUUUGGGGCAGCUGAGCUGAGGGCUGAGCACCCAAUAAGCACAAGGAGAUCCCAUUGUGCUCCAUCCUCAUACCACUGCUUCUCCUCCCGAGAGCUCAGGACACAAUAGCACAAACAACUAUUUUACAGCCAGAGAACCUUAGGAUACGAGACUUGAAGUCCAGAUUUCAUUAUAACUAACCCCUACUGAUACAAAGAAUGGGUAAAGCCCUUUUGAAACGGCAGGACUCACGCUGUGCCUCUGCACAGAGAUGGCAGCCACCACCAGCUCUGUGCUGCAGGAGAGCUGGAACUGCCAGAACCAAUUCACCCUGUGCCCUGAAGCACCCACCAGCUCUCACUGCACACAGGGAGCAGUGAGGGCAGAAGGGGCUUUGAUGGAGGGGAAGUAGGGUAGGAGCUGGGGCAGCUGGAUGCCCCUCAGUCUUUCCAAAGACACCAAAGGGGCCCUUGGUCAAGUCCAUACCAGUUUCUCCAGCUGCUCAGGGGAGAACUGUGCUGUGUUGCUAGGUUUCAACUUGGGUUUAAUCCUCUCUUUUUUUUUUUUUUUGUCAGAAAUUCAGGUUUGACACUGAAUUCAAAGGGAUGGGUGCUGCAGAGAAGCAGAGUGCAACCAGGAUGGAGUCAGUGGCCCACCACGCACAGAAGACUGAAGUAUUGAUCCUAAUUAUUACUGAACCCAAAUUAAGACAAAAUCCCUGUCCAUUUGCUGAAUGCAGUUCAUACUAUUCCAAAAGGCCACACUAAGCCCCAGCUCACAUUGGAUUUUCACAGCCCAAGCCCAGUGCUGGGCACUCCCAUGGCUCAGGGUAGGAGGGCUCAGUCUGCCCAGGCAUCUCCUCAGCCCCACACCGAUGUGUUGGUACCUAGAUCUAGAGAGUUAGAUAACACAACACAGCAUCUUCAGAUUCACGGUAAUGUGUUGUUUAAGGAGGCCAAAACAUCAAGGGGGACCAGGCAGGACCAGGACCCUCAAAUCCCCAACUUCACUCCCCCCUCCCCCUCCACCAUCCUCUGAAACCAGGACCGCAAAUUGAGCUUAGCCUCUUCCUCCCCCCUCUACUCACACCCUCACUCCUUGAAUUAAGAGGAAAGAAAAUGAACGCUGCAUGCUGCAUCCUGCAACUGAGGCACUGUGCAGCACCAUCCCCAGUGGAUGCAGUCCUAUGGAGACUACAAGAAGUCCCAGGGGGGCAUCAGCAGCCGUGGCACAGCAUCCGCAGCACAGCGGAGUACCACUGCUCGCUCUCCAGCCCUAUUUCUGUGUUCCAUGCCAGUUGGCACUGCUGAUUCUGUGGUGCUCUGGAGUACCCUUAUCUCUCCAGGAGAGGCUUUCACCGCAGCCCUUGAGCACUAGGAAAUGGAGAUACUCAACUGCUCUGUACAUCAAUCAGAGGGGGAGGCUGGGAAGGGGAACAGCGUGUCCCCGCCUGUCGCUCCAUGUAAGCUCUGCCCUUCACUGCUGACAGCAGAUUAAUUCCCAGCCAAAGCACAACACCCUCCUGAUGGAGAGGGGAAGCCUUCAAAAAGCAAAGCCUCCCACCUGUGAGUGCCCUGAAGUGGGGGGUGCAGCUAACAGGCAGCACAGGAGUCCCCAGGACGGAGAGUGCUUGGACAACACUGUCCAUUAGUACCUGGGUAUGGGUGGUGCUGCAAACAGAUUUUGCCAGGAAGCCAGUAGUGCCAUCCCCACAGUGCAGCAGGUCUGGGAAUUUGGGGCAUCUGGAGAUGGUCACAGUGCAAUGACAACAUGGUUGCGUUAGGGACCACCCCUUUCCCCCCUAGCUCUGUGGCUGGAGGCUGCGAGUGGGCUCCCACCAGCUCCUGCACCCACAGGGAAGCUUUUCCCCAGGCUGCUCAGAUGAGAGCCCAGGGAAAGGGGGAACUGUCUGUCUGUGCCCUGGGCAAGCUGGGCUGCAAUUUCCCUCCUCCUGCAGCCCACGGCACCAGCUGCCCUCCCAGGGGCUGCUCUCCUCCUGGCAUGCUGUGAGUCACGUCUCUGAUGUCACCUCUCCACGUCACUGGAGCUUGGAAAUGGAUUUAAUGAGCCCGUGUUUUCUUCAGCUAAGAAAAACCUCAAAGAGGCUUAUGCUCGAGCACCCUGAGGAGCCAGCAGGGCUCUCUGCAGCUGCCACAGUCCCCACAGGAGGACAGAUAGCUGCACAGUGCUCCAAAGCAGGGCGGUCAGCACCAAAAGCAGAGCGCCAGACAUGCAGGGGACAACACAUCACAGAGAUGGGAGGAUGUUUGUCCACAAUGCGCCCUUCCACGUUACCACCCUCCUCGUGGGACGUGGAGGUGAUGCCCUGCAAUGCCUCACGAUGCUCAGGGGGAGGGGGCAGCGCAGUAGUGGCACCGUGCCCACACUCAGAGGACCCAGCAGCAUCUCUGAGGGCUGCCACACAAUAAGCUGAGUUGGUGGCCAUUGCUCCUCAUGUUCUCCCACUCCCAGACACACGUGCUGGACCCAUCCCCACAAACAUCUAUCUUAGGCCGCCCAGCAGCUUUUUUAACACCAGUCACAUUGGGGAUGUGAAUCCUGAUUCACAGCAGUAUAGAUUGAAAUGUGAGCCUGUGGUGUUUUCAGAAGAACAAGUCCUUGUAAAGCAGAAGGGAACAAAAUUCAUUAUCAAAAUCAAGGGAAACGAGGAACAUUUGUUCUCUUUUAUGAAGGUCACUAGGAAAGGAAGCCCUACAUGGGGUCCCUGAAAAGCCAGUAGUGUAUGCAGUCAGCAGACAGAGGGCAUCUUCUGUUAAUGAAGGUGCCUCACCAAAAACACAGGCAUCAUAUAAAUUAUCAGAUAAUGAAAUUCCAGUUAAUUUGCUGCCUGGUCAGCUACAGCCCUCCUGCCAUGCUCCUGAGCCCAGCCAAUAACAUUAAGAAAGAAUUACCUUGCUACUAGGGCAGCUGGUGGAAAACCACCUCCUGAUUACUCAAUUCAGAAAACAAUAUCUUCUCCAGGACAAGAGGGGUGGAUGCUGCAGCCCCAUGGCCCUCCACACUGGGUUGACUACACAGGGACAUGUUCCCAACUGAUUCUUGCAGCUCUUUACCUUUUAGCAGCUUUGCUACCAGGAUCUCUUGAUGGGAUCCUUUUGCCCAGUUACUCAUGGGCAUCCCACCUCACCCACAGCUCCCUGUUCUCUCCUGGGUUUGUGUCUCCUUACCAGAACCCAGAAGAGCAACCAGAGAACAAGGAGAUGGCAUCCACCCCCUUUGCUCAAGUAAGUUCUUGAUCCCAUGGGUAGAAAGAGACUUAAGAAGGGGAAGUUUGGGGGAACCUUCCCCUUCUAAAUAGGCUGUAGUGGUUGAAAGCAAAGACAAGGCUCAGGAAGAGGUCCUACAUCCUCAACAUGGAGUGGGUUUCAAGUACAAACUGCAUUAUAGCUCCUUCCAUUCCCCUUCUCCAUCUGCUGCUCCAAACUAUCAGAGCACCAAGAAUUCAGCAUGCGCCAUGUAAUUUUAAAGCCAUUAUGUAAGCUGCUCUCCCCUCCCCACCUCUCAAUGUCUCCAAUUGGUGUGUCAGAAUGUAAUUAGCUUUUGAUGGGAUGUUAAGAUUUCUUGAGCUCCCGUGGAGAGGUAGCAUGGGGAGAGGCGAGGCAGCGGAUUGUGAUUGUCACUCCCCACAUAAGUGCUCGAAGACCCUGGAAGACUCAUUUACAAAAAUGUAAAAUAAAUAAAUAAAUAAACCUAAAAGCAGCAGACCCAGUAGGCUUCAGCUUAAUUGACUGAAUUUGUGGGUUAUUUAUUUAUUUUUUACCUCCGCUUGGUGAGAAAUAACUCUCUCAUAGCCAACGAAGGAGCGCCAUGCUGUGGCAACGGUCAGGGCUCUAUUGCACAUCCCAGUUGGAGAGGCUGGAAGCACUGAGCUAUUGGUUCCUGCCCUUCCAAGCAGUGCCAGCUUUGCUGCUACAACCAACUGCACGAGCACUCCUCCACCAGAUUCAUUACUGAGUCCUCCAGCCCUGCACCACAAACACACCAGCCCUCCUGCCAGGGCACCCAAGAAGCAGAAAGGUUUGGGCAUGGCCAAGUGUGCUCCCACAGCCCAAAGGUAACACUUGGAAUCCAGAUCCGUGAGUGUUUCGGGGCUAACAGACCCAACUUGAGAUGCUUGUAAUCUGCCAUGGUGCUUUUACAAAAACAAGCUCCUCUUGAUGUCUUGUUGCCAGCCUCCCAGUGCCCCAUACCACAGACCAGUGCUCUCAUGGUCAUACCACACACUCAGACCUUACUUCACACCCUUUCCCCAAUAGCCGACCCACUUGGAGGUACAGAACGAGGCAGGCAAAUCCCCCAGAACAAGUUUUCCACCAUCUGGCUGGGCCUGAACUUUCACAAGAGCAUCUGCCCCAGCCAACGAGCAUUUACGUGCCUACAGAUGGUGCUCAUAUCACCGAGCAGUAUGUUUGUCUACACAUUGACCCUGGCCCGAAGCCCACUGGAGUCAUCAGAUGCUUUUCAUUAACUCCAACAGGCUGUGGAUGGCAGUUUGGUCAGUCUCCACUGGUGCAGGCAGAGGCACUCAAACGAAUCCUGCAGGAUGCUCAAACGUGUGUGCCUCCAGGUCAGCCCAUAGCAGCUUUCCCAAACACAAGCCUGCCACAGACUCCUUCCAAAUGCACGUGGCUGGAUAUAAAUACGCCUCUGUCUCUGAAUUAGGUGAUGAUGUGAAACACAGGCACAUCCAAUACAAUAAUGAGCCAUUCCCAUCAAAUGCCAAUUCAACUGGAUAAUGGGCCAUAUUGAUUGCUUCGAGGACCAGACCAAUUUCACUUGUCCUUUUAAUGAUUAUUAUGACAUUAUCUAUAUUAUUUCUGCUCAGAAAGAUUAAUUCCCCAUUCCCCACCCCAAUCACUCUGGAUGCGAGGCCAUUCAAGUCUCCAUUCUGAACAGAAGCUGAGGAGACCUCUGCAAGGACUGGACUUAAUUCACUUCUGAAGUGUUAUCAGGCAAUUGGAGCUUUUUUCUCUAAUACUGCCACUGGCAUUAAUGGAAAGAAAACAAUAAAUGUAUCUGGUCACCAAGCAGUCAGCCUCCCCUUUCGUAGCUCUACUGACAUUUCUGUUUCCAGCCCAGACAGUAAUGCAUUCCAUUUUAAUUUUAGCAAACGCUUUCUUUAUGAUCAGAGACGUUAUUCAUUUGUACUUGUUUGCAUCUCCCUUAAAAUUCAGUAUUUCAUCCGGGGAUGCAGGGUUAUGGUCUACUUCUCAAAAUAAAGCACAUGUGGCACAAUGAUAUUUCAAAUGAUUUCCUCGAGUCUCUUCUUCCCAAGAGCAGUGAUUGCCUUGCUGGCAGCUGGCCGAGAG
ensembl:lncRNA